rnacentral:rRNA from 1 species
GACGAACGCUGGCGGCGUGCUUAACACAUGCAAGUCGAACGGAAAGGCCCUGCUUUUGUGGGGUGCUCGAGUGGCGAACGGGUGAGUAACACGUGAGUAACCUGCCCUUGACUUUGGGAUAACUUCAGGAAACUGGGGCUAAUACCGGAUAGGAGCUCCUGCUGCAUGGUGGGGGUUGGAAAGUUUCGGCGGUUGGGGAUGGACUCGCGGCUUAUCAGCUUGUUGGUGGGGUAGUGGCUUACCAAGGCUUUGACGGGUAGCCGGCCUGAGAGGGUGACCGGCCACAUUGGGACACGGGAAGCGCCCGGACGGAUUCGGGAGGGAGGGGGGGGGGAUUUUUGAAGAAGGGCCGAAGGCGUGAUGAAGAACCCCGGGUGGGGGAAGGCGGCUAUUGGGGUGGAAAACGGUUUUGCCUGUGAAGGAACGGGGGGAACGGAAAUGGGUAAAAAAGCACCGGUUAACUACGG